CCAGGAGCCCCCCGCGGGACCGGGAGCCCCGCAACGAAGCUUCACCCUAAAGCCCCCCCCCCAAUGCAGCCUCUCCCUCUCCCCUCGGCGAUUCCCGUGGGGAUCCUGCGGCUCCCGCGCGGCCCCGACGGCUCCUCCCGGGGCUUUUCCCCGGAUUCCCCCCGGGCUCGGGCGCUGCUGGGGGGGUGCCCCCCGUGCCCCCCGUGCCCCCGGGUCCGGGCCGAGCUCCGGGAGCGUUUCCUGCUGGCCCUGGGAGCCGCCCGGGGCCUCCCUUCCCGCUUUUCCCUGCGCUCCGGGAUCCGCGUGGACGCCCGCUUCGGAGCCGCCGACCUGGAAUUCCGGACGCUCCAGGUGGAUUCGCUCCGGACCCCCCUGGGCGUGGAGGCGGCGGCGCUGCUGAGGGGCAGCGACGUCCUGGGAUUCUCCUUCCUCCUCCCGGCACCUCCCGGGGAAUGAACCCACCUUUUCCCAAAGGAUUCGUGAUUCCAGAGGGUUUGGGACGUCCUGGGAUUCUCCUUCCUCAUCUCAGCACCUCCCAGGGAAGGAACCCACCUCUUCCCGAGGGAUUCGGGAUUUGGGACGUCCUGGGAUUCUCCUUCCUCGUCCCAGAGACCCCCCGGGAAUGAACCCACCUCUUCCUGAGGGAUUCGGGAUUUAGGACGUCCUGGGAUUCCCCUUCCUCCUCCCGGCACCUCCCAGGGAAUGAACCCACCUCUUCCCAAGGGAUUUGGGAUUCCAGAGGACCUGGGAAGGGGCAGCGACAUCCUGGGACUCUCCUUCCUUAUCCCGGAGCCCCCCCAGGAAUGAACCCACCUCUUCCCGAGGGAUUGGGGAUUUGGGACGUCCUGGGAUUCUCCUUCCUCAUCCCGGAGCCCCCCCAGGAAAUAAACCCACCUCUUCCCGAGGGAUUUGUGAUUCCAGAGGAUUUGGGAUGAGGUGGCACCGUCCUGGAAUUCUCCUUCCUCAUCCCAGGGAAUAAACUCACCUUUUCCCAAAGGAUUCAUGAUUCCAGAGGGUUUGGGAUGGUUUUUCCCAGCCCCUUUUCCCAAAGGAUUUGUGAUUCCAGAGGAGGAUUUGGGAUGGUGCAGCGACGUCCUGGAAU